GACGAACGCUGGCGGCGUGCUUAACACAUGCAAGUCGAACGAAGUGGCGAACGUGUGAGUAACGCGUAAUCAACCUGCAAUUCAGAUGGGGACAACAGUUGGAAACGACUGCUAAUACCGAAUACUGACGGCGGGGAUUUUGUCUGAUUAGCUAGUUGGCGGGGUAAAGGCCCCCAAAGGCGAUGAGCAGUCGCCUGUCUGAGAGGGUGAACGGCCACAUUGGGACUGAGACACGGCCAAGACUCCUACGGGAGGCAGCAGUGGGGAAUCUUCCGCAAUGGACGAAAGUCUGACGGAGCAAUGCCGCGUGAGUGAUGACGGCCUUCGGGUUGUAAAGCGCUGUUAAUCGGGACGCGGUACCGGAAUAGAAAGCCACGGCUAACUACGUGCCAGCAGCCGCGGUAAUUC
rnacentral:rRNA from 1 species